GGAUAACUCAGAGUCCAGCAAGAAGGGCUGGGAUUCACACUGAGCACGUGUGUCUGCCCAGGCUUGGGCUGUUUUCUGGGAUGGACUACCUGAAAUUCAUCACGAAUAUUGAUCAUAAAUCAAGGCUAACAACAAAGUAGCUUUGGAAAAAUAUGAACUCAAAAGUAUACUCUAUUUAAAUCCUAAAAAAGAAUCAGAUACCCUGACCCUGAAGAUUUCUGGACCUAGAUAAGUAGGAAUGAAAAGAAACAGGGCUGGUCAAACAAACCAGAAAAAAAGUAUGUGCCUUGGGCAAACUGAACUUGAUGGAGGUCAGGUGCAAAAGAAGUAUAGAUGUCUGCCUAGGCCUAUCCAUGACCCUUGAAGAGGCCUGGGCCAAAAAAAGAAGUGAUGUGGGCCUGAGCCUAUUCCCAAAACUUGAAGAGGCCUGGGCCUAAUGAAGAAGUGAUGUGGGCCUGGGCCUUUCUCUGACCCUUGAAGAGGCCCAGGCCAAAAGCAAGAAUUGAUGUGGGCCUGGGCCUAUCCCCGACCCUUGAAGAGGCCUGUGCCUAAUGAAGAAGUGAUGUGUACCUGGGCCUAUUCCCAAACCUUGAAGAGGCCUGGGCCUAGUGAAGAAGUGAUGUGGGCCUGGGCCUAAUGAAGUGAUGUGGGCCUGGGCCUAUCCCUGACCCAUGAAGAGGCCUGGGCCUAAUGAAGAAGUGACGUGGGCCUGGGCCUAUCCCUGACACUUGAAGAGGCCUGGGCCUAAUGAAGAAGUGAUGUGGGCCUGGGCCUAUCCCCAACCUUUGAAGAGGCCCAGGCCACAAACAAGAAUUGAUGUGGGCCUGGGCCUUUCCCUGUCCCUUGAAGAGGCCUGGGCCUAAUGAAGUAUUUUGGGCCUGGGCCAAUCCCGAACCAUUGAAGAGGCCUAGGCCUAAUGAAGAAAUGAUGUGUGCCUGGGCCUAUCCCCAGCCCUUGAAGAGGCCCGGGCCAAAAGCAAGAAGUGAUGUGGACCUGGGCCUAUUCCCAACCCUUGAAGAGGCCUGGGCCUAAUGAAGUGAUGUGGGCCUGGGCCUAUCCCCAACCCUUAAAGAGGCCUGGGCCAAAAGCAAGAAGUGAUGUGGGCCUGGGCCUAUCUCUGAACCUUGAAGAGGCCCGGGCCUAAUGCAAGAAGUGAUAUGGGCCUGGGCCUAUCCCUGACCCUUGAAGAGGCCCGGGCCUAAUGCAAGAAGUGAUAUGGGCCUGGGCCUAUCCCUGACCCUUGAAGAGGCCCGGGCCUAAUUAAGAAGCGAUGUGGGCCUGGGCCUAUCCUUAACCCUUGAAGAAUCCUGGGCCUAAUGAAGAAGCAAUGUGGGCCUGGGCCUAUCCCCAACACUUGAAGAGGCCCAGGCCACAAACAAGAAGUGAUGUGGGCCUGGGCCUUUCCCUGUCCCUUGAAGAGGCCCAGGCCACAAACAAGAAGUGAUGUGGGCCUGGGCCUUUCCCUGUCCCUUGAAGAAGCCCAGGCCUAAUGCAAGAAGUGAUAUGGGCCUGGGCCUAAUGAAGUAUUUUGGGCCUGGGCCUAUCCCCAACCCUUGAAGAGGCCCGGGCCACAAACAAGAAGUGAUAUGGGCCUGGGCCUAUCCCUGACCCUUGAAGAGUCCUCGGCCUAAUGAAUAAGUGAUGUGGGCCUGGGCCUAUCCCUGACCCUUGAAGAGGCCUGGGCCUAAUGAAGUGAUGUGGGCCUGGGCCUGUCCCCAACCUUUGAAGAGGCCCAGGCCACAAAUAAGAAUGAUGUGGGCCUGGGCCUUUCCCUGUCCCUUGAAGAGGCCUGGGCCUAAUGAAGUAUUUUGGGCCUGGGCCAAUCCCGAACCAUUGAAGAGGCCUAGGCCUAAUGAAGAAAUGAUGUGUGCCUGGGCCUAUCCCCAACCCUUGAAGAGGCCCGGGCCAAAAGCAAGAAGUUUUGUGGGCCUGGGCCUAUCCCCAACCCUUGAAGAGGCCUGGGCCUAAUGAAGAAGUGAUGUGGGCCUGGGCCUAUCCCCAACCCUUGAAGAGGCCCGGGCCAAAAGCAAGAAGUGAUGUGGGCCUGGGCCUAUCCCUGACCCUUGAAGAGGCCCGGGCCUAAUGCAAGAAGCAAUAUAGGCCUGGGCCUAUCCCUGACCCUUGAAGAGGCCCGGGCCAAAAGCAAGAAGUGAUGUGGGCCUGGGCCUAUCCCUGACCCUUGAAGAGGCCCGGGCCUAAUUAAGAAAUGAUGUGGGCCUGGGCCUAUCCCUGACUCUUGAAGAGGCCCAGGCCUAAUGAAGAAGCAAUGUGGGCCUGGGCCUAUCCUUAACCCUUGAAGAGUCCUAGGCCUAAUGAAGAAUUGAUGUGGGCCUUGGCCUAUCCCCAACCCUUGAAGAGGCCCGGGCCACAAACAAGAAGUGAUGUGGGCCUGGGCCUUUCCCUGUCCCUUGAAGAGGCCUGGGCCUAAUGAAGUACUUUGGACCUGGGCCUAUCCCAACCCUUGAAGAGGCCCGGGCCAAAAGCAAGAAGUGAUGUGGGCCUGGGCCUAUCUCUGACUCUUGAAGAGGCCCGGGCCUAAUGAAGAAGCAAUGUGGGCCUGGGCCUAUCCUUAACCCUUGAAGAGUUCUGGGCCUAAUGAAGAAUAGAUGUGGGCCUGGGCCUAUCCCCAACCCUUGAAGAGGCCUGGGCCUAAUGAAGAAGUGAUGUGUGCCUAUGUCUAUCCCCAACCCUUGAAGAGGCCCGGGCCAAAAGCAAGAAGUGAUGUGGGCCUGGGCCUAUCCAUGACCCUUGAAGAGGCCCGGGCCUAAUCCAAAAAGCGAUAUGGGCCUGGGCCUAUCCAUGACCCUUGAAGAGGCCUGGGCCUAAUGAAGAAGUGAUGUGUGCCUGGGUCUAUCCCCAACCCUUGAAGAGGCCCGGGCCAAAAGCAAGAAGUGAUGUGGGCCUGGGCCUAUUCCUGACCCUGAAAUUGUCCUGGGCCCAAUGCAAGAAGAAGUGUCAGCCUGGGUCUAUCCCUGAUCCUUGAAGAGGCCUUGGCCGAAUACAAGAAGUGGUGUGGGCCUGGGCAUAUCCAUGAUCCUUGAAGAGGCCUAAGCUGAAUACAAGAAGUGGUAUUGGCGUGGGCCUAUCUCUAACCCUGGAAGUGGCCCAGGUCAAAUGUAAGAAGCAAUAUGGGCACAGGCCUAUCCCUGACCCUUGAAGAGGCCUGGGCGAAAUGCAAGAAGUGAUGUCACCUGGGCCUAUACCUUACCCUUGAAGAGUCCUGGGCUAAAAGCAAGAAUUGGUGUGGGCCUGGGCCUAUCUCUUUACCUGAGGAGUCUUGUCCCAAAACUAGAUGUUGGCCUAGGCCAAGCCCUGACCCUGAAGAUGCCCAGAUCCAAAAUAAGCAGAAAUGUGGGCAGCCUGUGCCAACCUCUGACCCUGAAGAGGCCUAGGCCAAAACAACAAGAAUUGGUGCCUGGCCCUUUCCCUAAUCCUCAAGAGGCCCAAGGCAAAGUAGAAGAUAUGUGGACCGAGGUCUGACCUCUAUGAAGCCUGGACCCUAGCAAGCAGAGGAUAUUGAUGUAGGCCAUUUUUUUUUUAAAAAGAGGCAUGGACCAUGCUAAGAAAAAGUGUAUUUCUAAUGCAAACUGUGACUCUGAAGACAGGCCAUAUAAAAAAAUGUUUAACACCAUUUACCAUAACCAGAACAAACCAAAGCCUCAUUUGUGACCAAGGUCGAUCAAUAAUCACAAUAUAUUUGGACUUACUACCAUUCCUGCACAGAUCACUGACAUCAGAUCAUAGGUUGUGAAUCUCAUCAAUGAUAAUCUGGAAACUCCUUGUGUACCACUAUGGUUUGUGGGCUGCAUCUGGCAUUCUUCCAAAAGAGGCAACGAUCUCAUAUCAGUUGUGUUAAGACCAUAUCAUUGCUUUCAAGUGGUCACGCAUGAACAUAACAAGGAGACACCUUGGAAUCAAAGGUGUGGGAGCUCCACUCAGAAAUUCUCUGUUCCCAGGUCUUCCUAGAUGAGGCCCUUUAGAGUCAAGGAGAAGCUGACCUCAAGUGUGACCUGAGCCAUACCCACUACUCCAGGAAGGUUGGACACAGUUUAACCACAAGGAGAGCUGGUCUGAUAAGUGCAAUGAUGGCAAAAGCCAUAAAGUGACAUCAGUGGGAUCCUGGCAGCCUUCUGACUACAGAGUACCCUGGGUCCAGCUUAACUUCAAGAGUGUAUGGGCCACACCCUUUCUUUUUAUGAUCUUGGACAAUCUUCACUACAAGGAAGCCUUGUAGUCUUACAUUAUUCUUUAGCAGGCAUUUCAUGCCCUAGCAUUGUGUAUCUAGUUUUCAAUAAAUAUAACUUUCACC
rnacentral:lncRNA from 1 species